CGUUGGGGACCUUCCCUUUAAGGUUGUAAAGCAAAACCAAUAUACAACAGCCUCUCAAUUGAGUUCUUACAACAUUAAAAAAAAAAAGACACAUGAGAAUAACGCAUAUCUCCCUCUCGGAAUGCCCGUGAUGCUAGUUAGCUUGAUUAUCUCAUUGUGAUUGUAAAGUAGAAGUUGAUCAAAGGGGAAGGAAGAUUUGGAAGGGCCGGCUCUGGUUAUCAAAGACCUGCGAGCUCGAGAAGUAGACGUUGGACAUUAAAUAGAGUUCAAGGUAGACAGGGAGGUGAGCUUGAUCCGGAUUCUUAGUAGCUGUUAGCUUAUUGAGAGCACUCCAUUGUUCGGAAGUGCUUAUGUUUAUUCUUUUGGUUCCUUUAUGUAUUUCGCGCACGACGGAGUCUUGUUCUGUCUAUAUGUAUAAUAUGUCAGUAGAGGCUCGUAGACACGCAGUGUGGGUUAGAUGGUCUCACAAGAUUACUAUGUUAUAUUUGUAUAUGUUAUUUUGAUGGCCUAAGGGGCACAUGUAUAAUAAAAUCAUUUGUGUUGUCAAAUGAAAAAUGGUUGUCUUAUGAUUAUGAGAUUAUGAAUGAUAAAGAAAUGUAAAAUGGUUAUGACUAGUGAGGAAACGAGCGGUGCUCGGUGGUUAGUCCCGGGUACCCGUCGCGGCCCUAGUCGGGUCGUGACACAAACAUACUUAGAUCGAGAAGCUAAAAUGGAGGAAGAACGAAAGCUCGUCUAACAAUCCAUUUAGAAAAUGGAGAAGCUAUGAAAAGAAUGAAUGAUUCAUUUGAGGAUGUCAAUUCUUCAAUUGUCAUGGAAGUGUCUACUCCUCAAAAUGAAUUGGUUGAAGAAGAGAUUUCAAAUUUGAAAGAUGAGCCCGAUAAUUCUUGUGACCACAACGAAAGUUGUGAAAGUGAGGAAGUGGUUCAACUUGAAGAAGAGCAAAAUAUUGAUGAAGAAAUCUCCAAUUCUCAAAAAGACGAAGUUGAGAAAAUUUUGAAAAGCAUAAUGGGGAGGAACAAAAACUAUGAGCAAGUCUUGACCAAAUUGUGGGAAGAAGUUCAACAUGGAGAUGACGAAACUAUCCAAAAGGUAUAUCUCACUGCAAUGUUUGUAGUUGGGGGUGGCAUGUGGUAGCACAUUAUAUUUUGGAACUUGCUCAAAUUUUUGAAAAUUUCGUUCUUUUGACAUGUUGUGGAUUAGUCACUUUUAUUAGUUUAUUUUCUUUCUUAGCUUCUUUAAUUAGUCUUGUAGUUUAGGUGUAGGUGAUCCUUUGAGAAAAAAUUGUAGAAACUCUUGGCUUGUUCGGUACUAAUAAAGUUAGUCUCUUGCAUGUGAAGCGUUUAAUUGAGCAUAUCCCUCCAAGUGGAAUUUUAAGUGAAAAGAGAAGCAAGAUGCAUAGAAGGAAUAAUCUUUGUGACAACUUUUUGGCUCAUUUUGUGACUCUUUACCUACUAGAUGAGUUUUACUUGGGAUGAUGAGAUAUUACUCUAUUUGUUCUUGCUUAAGAAGUAAAAUUGAUCCAUCUUGACUAGUUCAUAUGCCAUGUGUAGUGAGUGUUUGUUGAAUAAUUCUUGUGCUUACUUUUAUCAUCUAAAACUUGCCUGGUUAGUCUUUCAAUGCUAAUUUUGAUUAUGUUGGUUGGAGAGAUGACCUUGGGCUAUCUUUGUGAUUUUUGAAAAAGCCUCUCUAGCCUUUCUAGCCUGCCAUUGCAUAAAUAAUAUCACUA